rnacentral:rRNA from 1 species
CACUGGUACUCGAGUGGCGAACGGGUGAGUAACACGUGGGUGAUCUGCCUUGCACUCUGGGAUAAGCUUGGGAAACUGGGUCUAAUACCGGAUAGGAACCGUCUUUAGUGUGGUGGUUGGAAAGUUUUUUCGGUGCAAGAUGAGCUCGCGGCCUAUCAGCUUGUUGGUGGGGUAAUGGCCUACCAAGGCGUCGACGGGUAGCCGGCCUGAGAGGGUGUACGGCCACAUUGGGACUGAGAUACGGCCCAAG